UACGUAGGGUGCGAGCGUUGUCCGGAAUUAUUGGGCGUAAAGAGCUCGUAGGCGGUCUGUCGCGUCGAAUGUGAAAACCCGGGGCUCAACUCCGGGCUUGCAUUCGAUACGGGCAGGCUAGAGUUCGGUAGGGGAGUCUGGAAUUCCUGGUGUAGCGGUGAAAUGCGCAGAUAUCAGGAGGAACACCGGUGGCGAAGGCGGGACUCUGGGACGUUACUGACGCUGAGACGCGAAAGCGUGGGGAGCAAACAGG
rnacentral:rRNA from 1 species